CCUACUGUGUGCUCCGCGCCCGCACUGGGGGCCGUUACCGAGGGGAGAAAUAAUGCAGACUAACGUUUGUGAGAGCGCUCCCUCCACCAGAUCUCCCGCCGGCGGUGUGGUGGUUCCCACUGCACCAAGAGGAAACUGAGGCCCAGUUAGCCCGGGGAUUUACCCCGGCUGGGGAGGACCGGGUUCUGAAUGCGACGCCUCUUCUGCCCUCAGCGGCCGCUAGAGUCGGGUAGAAGGCUGCCUCGGACACAGCCCCAAAGCACGCAGCUCCUGGGUCUAGAACACAAGUGGCGGCCAGAGGUAAAAGCAGCGCUUGAGGAGUGUUCCCAACCACACAGCGACGCGGAGCGGGGCCCUCGCGCUGUUCAUUCUGGUGGAAGAUUGCCGACAACUACAUACCCCUGACCAGGUGCUGACUUCUUACAGCACCUCUGGGACCUCCGUACAGCAGGGUGUUGUAAUGGGACUGAGAAAGGAAGAUGCCUUCAGGUUCCCAGCCUGGAGACCACCAGCUCCAAGCAUUCAGGGAGGCAGCCCUACCUCCUCCAGCCCGACCAGGGGACCCCAAAUAGCAUGCUAUUCUCAAAAUCCACUUCUACCAUUACGGCAAAGUAUCCGACAUUCAAGAAAGAGAAAUAAAAAGAAAGAAUUCAAAUAGAAAAUAAGGAAGAUCCGAGGUCCUCAAGGACAGUGAUGGUAUCAAAACCUUGGAAAAGAGUUGGAUGGGAGUGUGUGGAAAUAAAAAGUUUAAACUAAAAAAGAAUUAACUAUAGAAAAUAGGGGGAGGAGAAGGUCAUUCUAAUCUCAUUGCCUGGACACAAUUACUAUUAUAUCAUUCUAUACCCAAACUUUUUAAACUGUGAUCAUUUUAGAAUUGCAACCUUGCUAAAAAGAAAUAGAAACUUCUGCUUUGGCCUUCUUACACAGUAGUGUGGUAGAAUAGAAAGAACAGUGACCCAAGACUUCAAAUCUUGAUUAAGCUGUGUGACUUUGGGCAAGUCACUUAACCUCUCUGUUCCAUCACCUCUAAAAACAGCAAUAAUAACUGCAAACAAACAAACUGCCAAAAGAAGCAACAAAGCUUCGUGAACUGUGAGGGAGUAUGUGAGAGGAAGUGCGCAAUAAAUACGGAGUGCUGAAGGGGCGCCUGGGUGGCUCAGCUGUUAAGCGUCUGCCUUCAGCUCAGGUCAUGAUCCCAGGGUCCUGGGAUCGAGCCCCGCAUUGGACUCCCUGUUCCGCGGGAAGCCUGCUUCUCCCUCUCCCACUCCCCCUGCUUGUGUUCCCUCUCUGGCUGUGUCUCUCCCUGUCAAAUAAAUAAAUAAA